rnacentral:rRNA from 1 species
UGAACGCUGGCGGCAGGCCUAACACAUGCAAGUCGAACGGUAACAGGAAGCAGCUUGCUGCUUCGCUGACGAGUGGCGGACGGGUGAGUAAUGUCUGGGAAACUGCCUGAUGGAGGGGGAUAACUACUGGAAACGGUAGCUAAUACCGCAUAACGUCGCAAGACCAAAGAGGGGGACCUUCGGGCCUCUUGCCAUCGGAUGUGCCCAGAUGGGAUUAGCUAGUAGGUGGGGUAACGGCUCACCUAGGCGACGAUCCCUAGCUGGUCUGAGAGGAUGACCAGCCACACUGGAACUGAGACACGGUCCAGACUCCUACGGGAGGCAGCAGUGGGGAAUAUUGCACAAUGGGCGCAAGCCUGAUGCAGCCAUGCCGCGUGUAUGAAGAAGGCCUUCGGGUUGUAAAGUACUUUCAGCGGGGAGGAAGGUGUUGAGGUUAAUAACCUCAGCAAUUGACGUUACCCGCAGAAGAAGCACCGGCUAACUCCGUGCCAGCAGCCGCGGUAAUACGGAGGGUGCAAGCGUUAAUCGGAAUUACUGGGCGUAAAGCGCACGCAGGCGGUCUGUCAAGUCGGAUGUGAAAUCCCCGGGCUCAACCUGGGAACUGCAUUCGAAACUGGCAGGCUAGAGUCUUGUAGAGGGGGGUAGAAUUUCCAGGUGUAGCGGUGAAAUGCGUAGAGAUCUGGAGGAAUACCGGUGGCGAAGGCGGCCCCCUGGACAAAGACUGACGCUCAGGUGCGAAAGCGUGGGGGAGCAAACAGGAUUAGAUACUCUGGUAGUCCACGCCGUAAACGAUGUCGACUUGGAGGUUGUGCCCUUGAGGCGUGGCUUCCGGAGCUAACGCGUUAAGUCGACCGCCUGGGGAGUACGGCCGCAAGGUUAAAACUCAAAUGAAUUGACGGGGGCCCGCACAAGCGGUGGAGCAUGUGGUUUAAUUCGAUGCAACGCGAAGAACCUUACCUACUCUUGACAUCCAGAGAACUUAGCAGAGAUGCUUUGGUGCCUUCGGGAACUCUGAGACAGGUGCUGCAUGGCUGUCGUCAGCUCGUGUUGUGAAAUGUUGGGUUAAGUCCCGCAACGAGCGCAACCCUUAUCCUUUGUUGCCAGCGGUUAGGCCGGGAACUCAAAGGAGACUGCCAGUGAUAAACUGGAGGAAGGUGGGGAUGACGUCAAGUCAUCAUGGCCCUUACGAGUAGGGCUACACACGUGCUACAAUGGCGCAUACAAAGAGAAGCGACCUCGCGAGAGCAAGCGGACCUCAUAAAGUGCGUCGUAGUCCGGAUUGGAGUCUGCAACUCGACUCCAUGAAGUCGGAAUCGCUAGUAAUCGUGGAUCAGAAUGCCACGGUGAAUACGUUCCCGGGCCUUGUACACACCGCC